rnacentral:lncRNA from 1 species
UUAGUGUAUAUUCAUUGUCCAGUCCAGAUCCCCGUCCGCGGUCGAUUUACGACGGACGUCCGCAUAGUAUGUUCCUAGAUUGAAUUGUGCAAACUAUCGGUUGUCGGUCGUGCACGUGCGAUCGCGGACGUCAGCGCAAUAUAUUCCUAGCUUCAUUGUGUGAUGGCGUUCCCUUAGGGCCACUUGUACCACCCGCUUGUCAAGGUUCAGGUUCCCAAUAGUCGGCACUCUUAUAAGAUGGUGAAGUGUAAUGUUCAGGCCUGGCUAAUCAGAAUAACAACAGUGUUUCCAAUAGGAUUUAUUAAGACAACACAGAGCUAUACACAAGUUUAGAAAAAUAGUCUUUAUGUAUUAAUGUGGUCUAGUAACACUAAUGCCAUAGGUGAGUGGUAUAUCUUGUACACUGUCUUUGCUUACACUGAACUGCACUUUCACUAUUUGACGCGAUGGUAGCGGGUGUACCAAAGACAGUAUUAUAGUUGAGAUUUUAUUUGUUGAAUUUAUUUAGUCUUCACAUUAACAACUCUUUCUCUAAGGCCCACAUGCCCUCUCCUGUUCUUCGAUGGCCCAUUGUUGGUUUUUAUUUGCAUAUUAUUCUUCCCAUAAUCACAGGACACGGCAAGGAAGUGAAGAAGUGGCAGCAUGGGCACACAUUGGGCAGACACAAUAACGUCUCUGACAAAGACCACUGCAGGCUAGCAUGCACCGGGCCCAGGAUUGAGUGGCGUGAAGAACACUGGUAAAGAAUGGCCUCAUUCGUCAUGUCCCUCAGCCACAAGGAUACAACAAAGAAGAAGAGAAUUAUUCUUCUAAAAUUUACUUCUGCAGCUCAUUAAUUUCCAUUUUCGACUCUGCUACUUUUUCAACCGGCCGCUUUCAUUUUGGUUUACCUAUAACAAAGUAAUGUUUUAGAAUAGUACUGCAUAAAAACAAUAAAAAAAUUGUUCACAAA